CGCUCACAACAUCAUAAGCGGAAAGUGUAACCUCUCGAAAGAGCUGUUCUUCACUCCUGCUCCAGAGCGUGGGCUGCGGGGUCACUCCGAAAAGCUCUAUCUACGACGAUUUCAUCUCAGUCGAAGGAGAGGGUCUUUCUCAGUCCAGGUUGCGGAUCCGUGGAAUAAGCUGCCGGACGAGAUAGUGAAGAUGCCGACGACCGCUCGGUUCAAAUCGACCUCGGCGGAAUUUGAACUCAGAACGUAACGGCAGACGAAAUACGGCUAUGCAUUUCGCCCGGCGUGCUAACGAUUCUGCCAGCUCGCUGCCAAUACAAAGAGUGUUUCUACGAGGCAUAACACCACGCAAUGGCUAAAACACCUAAAGAAAGCAAAAUUAUACUAAUGGAGGAUUUUUAUGCAAGAGUAGACGAAAGUACAAACCCUUGGCAUCAAGUGAUUGGGAACUUUUGUGCUGGAAAAUCUACAGGCACCAGGCUCGCUACUAUGAACACCAUCUUUCAGUAAAAAAAAUUCAAGACUCCAUGGAUACAUUUCAGAUCCAAACACCGACAUGUUAUUGAGUACACUAUAAGCCAGUCGGCCGAGCAGAACAUCUCUGAUGUUCUGCUCAUCUGUGCAAUGAAUGAGCUGAGUGUUGGACUGGUCCCUUUUGACGUUUAAAAGCACCAGACAUGAAGAAACUAAAUUGCUUCGAGCUCAACGGUCCCUCGAUGUUUGUAAAGAUUUUCGUUUCUCUAGGUGUCAAACUGGAAGCUGCAGAGUCAUUUAAUCCCUUGAGAACUGAUGUCAAAUCAUGUGGAGAGCUGGGAGUUGAUGUCAAAUGAUUCUCCGUCAGUUCUACAUUCUAUGAUGCUGCUUCAGUAGUCAUCGAGUUCAAGAAAAGGACUAGAUGGCUGCUACACAAGGAUGCUAUGAAUGGUCUUAAAUGUGAAAUGGCUGCAACAUACGACAAACGAAUGCCUUUGUGGAGACCUACCUAAAGUUAGCGAGAAGUUCAAACAAAGACGCCUGCGACUAUCUGGUCACUGCGUGUGCUACCCUCAGCUGGAGACAUCCAAAUCAAUCUUGUGGAACCCACUUCAUGGUGAUGUAAGAAGAGGAAAACGUGGUCGCACUUACAUCGACAACUUGAUCACAGACACUAUCCUGGAAUGUAUCUAAGACCUCGAGGCAGUGGUAUUGGACCGAGAAUUGUGGCGGAUGAACUUUGUUCCUGUGGCCUGGGUUGGAACCCAGCCAUUAGAAAAAAACCUCACAAAAACUGACACCUUGCUAAAUGACAUCUCACAGAGUAACUCUAGAUAAUCCCUCAUCACACUCUAAAAAAAGUAGCGACCAGCUGUUUGGAAUGAAAAAUAACUUGAGAAAUGAAUGAUAGGUUGCAAAAACUCAAGAAAUCUAGAUGCAUGCAAAUAGUAUGAUGUGAUAAAGACUGUGCAUAGCUCAAUAAAUGUUCCAUUGCACCAGUGAAGCCAUCAGUUGACAUAUCUCUAGAGAAAGACCAGUCAGUAGUAGAAUUGUACCAGGAAGAACAUUACGAUCUGUGGAUACAUCACUUAUCAUCAAAAGUGGACUGGACAGAGACAUCUUGAAGGAAAGUGGUUACAUAAGAUCGCUUAAUUGCUACAUCACAGGGGCAGGAAAUGAGGGCUACAUACCUCAACAUCACUUUAAAAAAAAAAAAUAAAGGAUACAAAUGUGUUUGAUCCAACAGCAGAAUCAUAUUACUUUUGUCUCUAUUGCUGGGAUAGUCCCGGUUAUG